rnacentral:tRNA from 1 species
CGGAAAUAGCUCAGUUGGUAGAGCAUAACCUUGCCAAGGUUAGGGUCGCGAGUUCGAGUCUCGUUUUCCG